UCUUCAGUAGCUCAGUGGUAGAGCGGUCGGCUGUUAACCGACAUGUCGUAGGUUCAAACCCUACCUGGGGAG
rnacentral:tRNA from 1 species